rnacentral:rRNA from 1 species
AACAAACGCUGGCGGCGUGCCUAAUACAUGCAAGUCGAACGGGUAGCAAUACCAGUGGCGCACGGGUGAGGAAUACAUAGAUAAUCUGCCUUCGAGUCGGGGAUAACCAGUCGAAAGAUUGGCUAAUACCGGAUAAGACCACAGGAGCUGAGGCUCUAGGGGUUAAAGGUUUUUCGCUUGAAGAUGAGUCUAUGCGAGAUUAGCUAGUUGGUGAGGUAAUGGCUCACCAAGGCGACGAUCUCUAACUGGUCUUAGAGGAUGAUCAGUCACACUGGAACUGAGACACGGUCCAGACUCCUACGGGAGGCAGCAGUAGGGAAUAUUGCGCAAUGGGGGAAACCCUGACGCAGCGACGCCGCGUGAGUGAUGAAGGCCUUCGGGUCGUAAAACUCUGUCGUAUGGGAAUAACGCAAUGAAUGUACCAUGCAAGAAAGGAUCGGCUAACUUCGUGCCAGCCGCCGCAGUAAAAC